CCUUGCUCAUGACUGCUAAUGGUUGUCUUCUCCAAAUCUUGACAGUGACAGAUCGAAGACUGCUCAGUUAUGAUUGAUCUUUUCUUGUAGCCUUCUCAAGACAGUCAUAUCUUCAGUGCCUUCAUAGGACUGUUAUCCUUUCCAUUCUUUUCCUUUAACUGCACUUUCUUCUUAUAUGACCUCUGUGAUUGCACUUUUUCUCUUCUGCUGCAACUUAUUACCUUCUGUCCUUUUGCUCCUCAAGACAAUCAUAUGGUCCUUUAUCACUAGGAUUAUCCUAUAUCUCUGCAUCCUCAUGUCUUUUGGACUGUCAUAAUAUAUGUUUAGGGACUGUCUUGUUGUUCUAUAAUUAUCACAAAAACCCUUUUCUUUGAUUUUUCUCAUGCUCUCCAAAUGACCAUAAACAAGGCAUUUUCCACUUUGAACAUUGUCAUUUCUUGUAUCCUAUCAUAGAUGGUGCUCUGAUCACACUCGCAACAGUAUCAUUGAUUUUGACAUCUUCAAACACUUUUGAUUUGCAACCUAUCUAACCUUUGCAUGUUACAAUCGAAAAGCUCAAGGACUGCUGCUCAAAUUGUCUGUAUUUGUUAUCAUAUCCUCUUCCUUUUGGUUUACAAACCCUUGUUCUCUGUCUUUGUGGCAGUAUCAUCCUUGUUCACCGUAUAUUUUUUGAUGAAUGGGCCGACAUUUAGUGAGAUAUCAAUGCAUUAAUGGAUUUUGACUGAGGGUUUCCUUGCACUGUCAUAGCCCUUUGUGCUUUUGAACAGUGGCUAAAUCAACAUGUUCUUGUUGAUGGUGAAGAUUGACAUUUUGUCAACAUGUUAUGUCUGUAUAUUAGUCUUUCUGAUCACUGCUCGGAAUAGUUGCUCAUGAUCUGUAUAUUAGCCUUUUUACAUGUCUGCAACCAAAAUUUCAUGUGCUUGAAUAUUCUUGACGUCUUCAUGCCUUUAAGUCGGUCAUUCCUUUUAUGGUGCCUGGCUUCUCAUUACAGAGCAAAGGCUCUUUGUUGCAGCAUUCAAAGAAAUCUGAUAGUGGAAAAAGUCUUCAUGACAAGGUAGUACAUGACAAAGGCAAAUUUAGACCCAUGACUUCACAUGCAACAUGGGGAAACUUUAUUAUUUUAAAUUUUAAUUCCCUCCAACACCGUGCAUGAGUAUUUUGACUUAACCAAUAUGUGGAGUAUGUUUUUGACCUUUUUGGAGCUUUUAAUGAAAAACAAGGACAUUAUUCAUUUUUUACUCAUUUGGCAAAACAAAUCAAAGGAACUAGAAGUGGCUUUUCCUCUUUUAGCAUUAUUACUCUUUUAAAACCUCUAUAUGAGACCUAAGACCCAAUGGCAGGCUAUUUUUGACCUGAAAGCGGAAAAAUAGGUAAUAGGUCCUUAACCAUCUUUAUGAGGCACCAUACCUAGUGAGGAAUCUUUCACCGGUCCUCCUCCUUGCACUUCGUCUACUUCCCCAAUAGUAUCGAAUAUUGCAGGUAUAAUAUGUUAUUAAGUGUAUAGAUUUAAUUGUAUAUAUUCACUCUCAAUUAAUCUUUUAAACACAUAGAGAUAUUGAUAAAUGAAUUCUGCAUAGUCAGGUAUAAACAUAUAUGCGUUUGCACCUCUAUGAAUAAUCUAUCUUUGCCUUUAUACCACAAUGGUAUAGAUGCUAUUGCACAAUCAUGAACAUCAUAUUACUAAACAUUAAUCAUUGGUUAGCAGAAGUGAAUAAUAUUUAUUAUGCCAAGUAUAGGGAGUGUGAUCAAAUUGUUUGUGCAUUCAACUUAUUAUCCAUCUGAUCUCCUCUGCAUUUUGUCAUCUUCUGAUGAUCAAUGGUUCUUCCUUUGAUGUGGAUGAAGCCCUAUGAUAUCUUUUCACUGGUUUGUGGAGUGGUGCCUUUCCUUUAGGGACGUGUCCCAUGGGAGAGAUCUUAUCCUAUCUAUUGCUCAUCUCACCCUUUCAGCAUUUAAUCAUCUUCUCUAGCUCAUGUUUGUUAAUCCUUUAAUCCUUGCAUUGGUUAAUGCUGGGUUAUCUAUUGAUUAGCAUUUGAUCAUUCAGAUUGCUGUUCACAAACAAGAGAGAAGGUGAUCCUUAAGGCAGCUUCCUUGCUAUGGUUAUGAUUGUUCAUGGUGGUGAUUGGGGUCUGCUGUAGUCAGUCCAGCAAUUAGGAAAUUGUUAAGUCUCAUCACCGUGAGAUUAGACAAUUUCCUAUCAGAUCUUGCUAAAUCGGGUUGGGGCCAUGACACUUUGUAUUAUAGAUCUGUGGAGAAAAGACUUCAGAUUUGGACAGCCAUUUUUCUCUUAAUCUUUCAGUUUUCACGUGUUUCAAUUUUCUUAGGAUGAAUGUUUGGGUUUGUCUUCACUGAUGUUUAUUUUAGUGUUCUUGCUGCAAAAUGUUUGGAAGAUAAAUUUAGGCUUGUUUUCUUUUUUCUUUUUAAUCCUUUUGACUUGAGUAAAGGACUUGAUCAAGUGAGAAUCUAAUGCAGGCAUGAGACAUAGGACCCAGCAAGAAUUCAUAUAACCGAUGCAGAGAAGAAGAGAUGAGAUGUUCCUUAUGACCUGCUUCCUAGAUCACAAGUAGCUGCUCUAGAAGCAAGGCAUAUUUCCAAAACAGCUAACGGACUGUUUGAAUUCUGUGUUCUCAGGCAAUGAGUUGAUCUUCUCCUGCACAGCUAAUCUAUUUUGAUUUUGCCAUGGAGAGUAAGCUGACAUACAAGGUUAUUGGGGGUUUACUGGACUUCUACUUCUUUGCAGGUUCGUCUCCUUUAGAUGCAGUUCAACAGUUCAUUGACUCCGUAGGCCACAGCUGCAAUGUCCUAUUGAGCUUCUGAUUUGUCUCCAUUAAAUGCUGUUCAACAGUUCACUGACCUCGUAGGACACACAGCUGCAACGCCCUAUUGGGCUUCUGGUAUGUCAGUAAUGCGCUGCUCUAUAGUUUGUUACUGUAGCAUGGUAUUGUUUAUUGUCUUCCAAACAUUUUACAGCACAUGCAAAUCAUCUACAAUAGUAAGCUAAGUAUGAGCUAAUUGAGCUUUGUUGGUUAUGUAUUUUACUGACUAUUGGAAUUUAGUAAUUUUGGUUCACGGUUUAAUAUUUUUUUUGGAUUCCUUGUUUUGGUUCGCUGUAUUUGUUUUAUUUAAUAUUUCAAAUGAGAUACAAGGAUACCAAUUUCCUUGGCUUCGGAAUAGAGAAUGAAAUCCAUAUUUUUUUGUUUUGAGAUUUUGAAAAUUUUAUUUGGUGGGUGCUAUUGUUUUACUCAGGAAAAAAACAGCCAGGAUUAUUGAAGUUGAAGUUGAAGUGCUUGGUGUGGUUGACAUGAAUGAUUAAAAACAGGAUCCCGUAUGUGCUUAAUAUAACGUUUUAGAUUGUUUUCAUCA